CAUUUGUCAGAACAGACAGGAAGUCUGGGUUUAACCUGUUUUCUGGAGAGUCCAGACUGCAGACUGCAGACUCUGAGGUUGGAGAGAUGCAGUUUGUCAAAGAUCAGCUGUAAAGUCCUGGUCUCAGCUCUGAAGAAAAACCCGUCCAAUCUGACAGAACUGGACCUGAGCUGGAACAAGAACCUGCAGCAUCCAGGAGUUGUUUAUCUGUGUGAUUUUCUGGAGAGUCCAGACUGCAGACUGCAGACUCUGAGGUCAGACUCCAUGUUUCAGUUGUGUUCACAUCAAUGUGAUGACAAAGUUGUGUUAGGACUGAACUGCAGACAUGAGGCUCAUCAGCUCUGCUCUGUGUCUUUGGUCCAAGAGACUCCUUUAAAGCAGUGCAGAAGCAGCAGCCUCACGUGCACGCUCACAUGCACUCUGAGUCCUGCUGUGUUUCAGCAGAUGCAGCUGAGAGUCCAAAGGGUUAGGGUGACAGAGUCCUGCUGCAGCUGGAUGCUGCUCUGACAGACACAUCCUCCACAAACAUCCUCACCUUUUCAUCCACAAACAUCAUCACAUCAUCCAUCAAAGCUCCCAGCAGCUUCUGACUCUUCAUUCAGAGCUGAAGUCAUGCUUGAUCAGGGAUCAAUGUCCAACAUUUGCUGCUGACUCUUCCUCAUCACUUCCUUCUUCUCUCUGCUUUGAUCUGUUGGAGCUGAAAGUCUCUGCUUGAAGGGCUGCAGCAGAGAAGGACUGGAAGAUCAUCUCCUGAAAACUGGGAGGAAGACUUUCCAGCAUCCUGCUGCUGAAAUUCUCCCAUCAUUCAGUGCUGUUUGGAGAAGAGCUGAGCAGAAAGAGGAAGUGGACUUUUUCUGCUGUUGCUGCAGAAACAUCAGUUGGUUUGGAUGCAGCCACAGGCUGAUGUUUGACUUUCACACAUCUGGACUUCUUUCCUGAAGCAGCUGCAUGUUGUCCUGAAUGUUCCUGAAUGUUCUUCUUCUCUGCUUCUGCUGGACUCUUCUGAUCUGCUGCUGUUGCUUCACAUCUUUGGACUUUUUCUAAACUUUCUGAUCUUCUUCAGCUCUGAACUCUUUAGAAGAAGUGAAGGAUGAAAAACAGGAACAUUGUCUUUAAACUCAACUCUUUCUUCUGGAUUCAGGUUGAGGGACUGCAAUUUGUCAAAGUUCAGCUGUGAUGCUCUGGCCUCAGCUCUAAAGUCCAACCCGUCCCACCUGACAGAACUGGACCUGAGGGACAACUUCCUUCAGUAUUCAAAUGUUCAGCAGCUCCGGGAUCUGGUGGAGAGUCCAAACUCCAAACUGCAGACUCUGAGGUCAGUAGAGGGUUGGAGUCAGUCCAGCUGCUUCCAGAUGUUUGGGCCUAAGUUAGUCUGAGAGCAAAGAUGCAGAGUUUCCUGUGAAGCUGCAGCUUCUCAGUGAAACUCUGAGGAGAAUGAUGACAGGCUUCAGGACAACAGUCAGCCAAUCAGAGCAGCAGAAGCUCCAACAGGUGAAGAUGACAGGAAGCUGCUGCUCUGAACAGGACUGAAGCUCCUGCUGCUCUUUCUGCUGCUGUGCUGCAUCACUGACUGACAGACCAGGAUCAGGAGACACUCCUUCAUCUCUGUCUCUCCACUUUACUCUGCAGGUGGUGGUGGGAUGACUGAUGUUACUCCUGGAGGAGCAGAGAGGAGCAGCAGCAGCAGCUGGUCUGCAGAGAUGUGGUGACUGGACGGUGUUCCUGGGAGCUGGAGAGCAGAGUGAUGGAGGAAUCAGAGGAAGUGGAGAUGAGUGUCAGAGCUGCAGCAGGAACUGAUCUGAGAUCAGCUCCACUGUCUCUCAGUUAUUGUGCUGCAGCUCCCCCAGUGGACUGAUGGAGAACUGCACUUCCUCUAAUUCUAACUUCUCAAACGUCACUAUGGGGUCAAAUUGUGAAGUUUGGUCGUUUCCUGCAAAUAAACUCUGAUAUGAAUUUGUAACAACAACCAGUAAAUAGCUGGUAAACUAACCUGGCUCCAGUUAGUUUCCAUUUUAAAUAAAAAAGUUUCCUCUUGGUUCAAAGUAAACCUGGACGGUUUCUCUAAACUGAUGUGGAUGGAGGCCCUAGCUCUAGCUGGAAACUUCUUCUUCUUCAUCUACUUGUGAUUUUAUUGGCGGGAGGCACCAACGUGAAGGUGCAUUACUGCCACCUACUGUGUUGGAGUGUGGGUCAGAGUGGGGAUUACCUAACCAAAAUUAACUAACAAAAACAAAACAAAAGAAAAAAAAACCCUAAAUUCUCCUCAAUAACCUAGUUUUUUUCAAAAAACCUAUAAUCACACCAUUCAAAUUUUCCUCCCAUCCCAAAAGCUUCUUUAAAGUCAACUGUUCACCCUCUAUCAUCUGUACCCUACUUUCCAGUUGUCACCUUUCUUCCCCAUACAGUUCACAAAGACACAGAACAGGAUCCACUGACUCUUCCCCUUUCCCGCACUCACAUAAACCAGUUGGGUGUUUCCCUGUCAGAUGCAAUGUAUUAUUUAAACCAGUGUGUCCCAUCCUCAACCUUGAUAUUAUGCCAUGAUCUCUGGUGUUUACUCUGACAUUCAUACCUUUCCCUAG
rnacentral:lncRNA from 1 species